AACGAACGCUGGCGGCGCGCCUAAUACAUGCAAGUCGAGCGAGAAGACGUAACAAUACGUUUGUAAAGCGGCGAACGGGUGAGGAAUACAUGGGUAACCUACCCUCGAGUGGGGAAUAACUAGCCGAAAGGUUAGCUAAUACCGCAUACGACUCUUGGUCUGCGGAUCAGGAGGGAAAGCGAUACCGUGGGUAUCGCGCUCUUGGAUGGGCUCAUGUCCUAUCAGCUUGUUGGUGAGGUAAUGGCUCACCAAGGCUUCGACGGGUAGCUGGUCUGAGAGGACGAUCAGCCACACUGGCACUGCGACACGGGCCAGACUCCUACGGGAGGCAGCAGUAAGGAAUAUUGCGCAAUGGGCGACAGCCUGACGCAGCGACGCCGCGUGGGGGAUGAAGGUCUUCGGAUUGUAAACCCCUUUCGGCAGGGAAGAUGGAACGGGUAACCGUUCGGACGGUACCUGCAGAAGCAGCCACGGCUAACUUCGUGCCAGCAGCCGCCGUAAGAC
rnacentral:rRNA from 1 species